CUUGUUGGCGCCGUUGAAGGUUCCUUCGCGGCCUGCCGGCCAACGGGGAUUAAAAGGGAACACGGUGCGACGUACCCAUCAGGGCGCAAAACCGUGGCUGCCCCCGCAACUGUAAGCGGUGAGUUCUGCUGGAAAUUGCCACUGAUCCUUGUCGGAUCGGGAAGGCCCAGACAGCGCAUAGACCCGUGAGCCAGGAGACCUGCCAUCGACAUGUCUUCAAC
rnacentral:ncRNA from 2 species